ACCGCGAUAGUUCAGUUGGUAGAGCAUCUGCCCGACAAGCAGAUUGUCGCCGGUUCGACUCCGGCUCGCAGCU
rnacentral:tRNA from 1 species